AACGCUGGCGGCGUGCUUAACACAUGCAAGUCGAACGAUGACGAUGGUGCUUGCACCGUCUGAUUAGUGGCGAACGGGUGAGUAACACGUGAGUAACCUGCCCUCCUCUUCGGGAUAACCGCCGGAAACGGUGGCUAAUACCGGAUAUGAAUGCCUGCCGCAUGGUGGGUGUUGGAAAGAUUUAUCGGUGGGGGAUGGACUCGCGGCCUAUCAGUUUGUUGGUGAGGUAAUGGCUCACCAAGGCGAUGACGGGUAGCCGGCCUGAGAGGGCGACCGGCCACACUGGGACUGAGACACGGCCCAGACUCCUACGGGAGGCAGCAGUGGGGAAUAUUGCACAAUGGGCGAAAGCCUGAUGCAAGCGACGCCGCGUGGGGGAUGACGGCCUUCGGGUUGUAAACCUCUUUCAGCAGGGAAGAAGCGAGAGUGACGGUACCUGCAGAAGAAGCGCCGGCUAACUACGUGCCAGCAGCAGC
rnacentral:rRNA from 1 species